AAGCUCGUAGUUGAAUUUCGGGAUCAAUUUGUCGGUCGUGCCUCGGUACGUACUGGCAUUAUUGGUUUCUACCUUCUGAAGAACCUUGAUGUCAUUAAUUUGGUGUCUUGGGGAAUCAGGACUGUUACUUUGAAAAAAUUAGAGUGUUUAAAGCAGGCAUACGCUUGAAUACAUUAGCAUGGAAUAAUGAAAUAGGACGUUUGAUUCUAUUUUGUUGGUUUCUAGGAUCGACGUAAUGAUUAAUAGGGAUAGUUGGGGGCAUUAGUAUUCAAUUGUCAGAGGUGAAAUUCUUGGAUUUAUUGAAGACUAACUACUGCGAAAGCAUUUGCCAAGGAUGUUUUCAUUAAUCAAGAACGAAAGUUAGGGGAUCGAAGACGAUCAGAUACCGUCGUAGUCUUAACCAUAAACUAUGCCGACUAGGGAUCGGAUGAUGUUAUUUUUAAUGACUCAUUCGGCGCCUUACGGGAAACCAAAGUGUUUGGGUUCCGGGGGGAGUAUGGUUGCAAGGCUGAAACUUAAAGGAAUUGACGGAAGGGCACCACCAGGGGUGGAGCCUGCGGCUUAAUUUGACUCAACACGGGGAAA
rnacentral:rRNA from 1 species